UUCUAGCAAGACUGACAAAAGAAAAAAGAGAGAAGACAAAAAUUACCAACAUCAGGAAUGAAACAGGGGCUAUUGGCAGACACUGUAGGCAUCAAAAUGAUAAGGGAGCACUGCAAGCAACUCUACACAAGUAAAUUUGACAACUUGAAGGAAAUGGAUCACUUUGUUGAAAAACACACACUAUUACACCUCACUCAACAUGAAAUAGAUCAGUUGGAUAGCCUUUUAACUGUUUAGAAAAUUGAGUUUGUAAUUUGAAAAGUCCCAAGAAAGAAAUCUCCAGGCCCAAAUGAUUUCACUAGAGAAUUCUACCAAAUGUUUAAACCAAUUCUACAUAAAUUUCUUCCAGAAGAUAGAAGAGGAGGAAACAUUUUCCAAUUCAUUCUAUAAAGCUAGUAUUAUCCUGAUGCCAAACAAAAACAUUAUGAGAGAAGAAAACUAUAGACUAGUAUGUCUCAUGGAUGCAGAUGCAAAGAUCUGUAACAAAAUAUUAGCAAAUGAGAUUUGGCAAUAUAUAAAAAAUUAUUUACCAAGAUAGAGUGGAGCUUAUUCUAAGGGUACAAAGAUGAUUCAAUAACCAAAAAUCAAUCGGUGUAAUCCAUCAUAUUUAUAGGCUAAUGAAAAAGUUACAUGAUCGCAUCAAUUAAUGCAGAAAAAGAACCUGACAAAUUUCAACAACCCAUUUAUGAUAAAAACUCUCAGAAAACUAGGGAUAGAGGGAAACUACUCAACUUGAAAAAGAGCAUCUACAAAAACCCUGCAAGUAAUCUUAUGACUUUUUGGUGAAAGACUGAAUGCUUUACCUCUAAGUUCAGAAACAAGGCAGAGAUAUCUGCUUUUACCCCUCUAAAACAACAUCAUGUUGGAACUUCUAGCCAGCACAAUAAAGCAAGAAAAGGAAAUAAAAAGUGUACAGAUUGAAAAGGAAGAAAUAAACCUGUUACUAGUUGCAUAUGACAUGAUUGUCCAUGUGGAAAAUUCCAAGGCAUCUACCAAACGAAAAAGAAUAAAACCUAAAACUAGUCCGUGAGUUUAGCAAGGCCAUAAGAUACAAAAUAAGAAUACAAAAAUUAAUUAUAUUUUUAUAUACUGGCAAUGAUCACAUGACUAUUGAAAUUAAAAAUACAGUAUCACUUACCAUCACUCACUAGAAAAAUGAAAUACUUAGCUGCAAAUCUAACAAAACAUGUAUAGGACUUGUAUGCUGAAAACUAUAAAACACUAAUGACAUAAAUCAGAGAAUCUAAAUAAAUUGGAGAGACAUACUAUGUUCGUGGAUUGGAAGACAACACAAUCAAGACGUCAAUUUUCCGCAAAAUGAUAUAUAGAUUUAACAUAUUUCCUAUCAAAAUCUCAGGAUGAUUCAUUUUUAGAUAUAGAAGAUUAUCCUACAGUUUUUAUGGAAAUGCAAAGAAACUGGAAUAACUAAAACAAUUUUGAAAAAGAAGCAUAAAAUGGGAGGCAUAAGUGUACCGAGUUUCAAGACUUACUGUGUAGCUGUACUAGUCAAAACUGCAUGGUGAUGGUGGAGGGAUAGACAAGAUCAAUCAGUGGAACAGAACAUAAAACCCAGAAAUGGACCCACACAAAUAUGCCUAACUGAUUUUUAACAAAGUUGCAAAAUGAUUCCGUGGAGGAUAGAGAGCCUUUUCAACAAAUGGUGCUGGAGCAUCUGGACAUCCAUGAGCCAAAACAACACCAAACCUUAACCUGAGUCUCACACCCUAUACAAAAGUUAACUCAAAAUGGGUCAUAAACUUAAACAUAAAAAUGUAAAACUAUAAAACAUAAAACUACAAAAAACAAUGGAAAACUAAUUUGAGUUGGAUUUCCGAUCCCAGUAAUUUAAAGGUCCUGACUAAUAUGCUGGGUAAUAUCAUUCUUGAGCAAAAACAAGGUGCUGUUUUAUGGCGAUGAUACUGUUUCUCUUUGGUGCUUCAUAAAUGGUCUCUGAAGAUCGCAAGAAGUGUCUUAAAUCAUCUCCAGCAAUGGCAUCAGCAGCGCAUAAGAUGUGUAUGGUUUUCCAGAGUGACGCUUUUGGGGGACAGACUUUGUUUGGGUAUAGAAGUUCUGUCACCUUGAAAACAAGAGAGCUUUUUUCCUUUAUAAUCUCAGUUUGCACAAUUUCACACUUGAGGUGGUAUUCAUCUUGCAAUCCUGAGAGUCUUAGGCAAUUCCACCCCUUAAAAGAGCAGAAGGCAAGGGUGAUCUCAAAAGGGCUGCCCUUCCUCCUCCCCACGCAGGCUCCCUGGAGAAUUCAAACACCUCGUGGCUGGCUCAGGCUCUGGGCACUUUUGUGGGCAUGGGAAAGAACAUCACUGUCCCAUGUAGGGUCUGAUGCUCCCCUUCGUUGGCUGAUAUCACAUGAAUUUCUCCUCUCUUCCUAGAUGGAGGCCUCGUGUCUUUCUCCUGCAGGUACAGGAGGUCCCCAGUUUAGCUCUGCCCUCAGGCUGGAGGGCACUGAGAAGCUCCUGCCCAGACCUAGGCCCUGUCUGGUCACCUCUGCCUGUACUCCAGCCUCAUAGUGGGGCUUGGCAUUGCUCUUGCCCUGGCCUGCCCCUUUCCCUGUCCCCAGAUACUACUGUCUGGUUCCAGGAGCUGACUCAGAGCCAGGGGCUCAGCUCCCGACUCCAGGCUCACUUAGCAGGACCCUGGCCCUCUACUGGGCUAUCUUGCUUCCUCCUGCCCUGGCUAUCUCCUUGUUGCCUUACCAGUGGCUUCUCAUUGCACCUGGCUGACCCCAAAGCCAGGCACCCCGCUUUCCUGUUAGUCAGAUGGCUGUGGGGUACUCCAGGGGAAUCCCAGUUUGGCUCGUAGCUCUAUGCCUGGCUGGGUCCAGGGGUGCAACAGAGAGCCUACUCUCCUCCCACACCAAAGUACUAGGUUGUAGCCAGGUUUCAUUCCAGAAGAAUUCCAAGGGGAGCAACUGACCCCUUAGAAGUCAGAAUAGAGCCAGGCACAGAAGUGGACACUGCCAUGGGAAAUGGUGGGGAAGUCUCCCUGGACUCUGCAUGUCACACCAGGGACCAGAUCAGAUCUUGGGGGAGUCUUGUCAAUCCCCAGGUAUCCACAGGGGGCCCAGUUGGUUACAGGAACCCUGGGAAGAUGCUAUAGUUUGGGGGUCAGUCUCAGUGGCUCUCAGGACCAUGGCCAAAGGCCCACAGCCCAGGGAGUGGUUGGAGGCACUGGGCCAAGCCCACCAGUAGACUGGCAUGCAGCUGGUUCUUCAGAUGAGAGUGUCCUGCAGCCAGACCAGGUAAGGAGGGAAGUCCCAUCCCUGCCCCAACUUUGUCCCUCUCCCAAGUGGAGCUUGUGUCAGGAAGCAAGGCAUGACUUGCCAUGUGGAGUUGUGCCUGAGUCCGAGUUGCAGUGCUAGAGGGUUCCCGGCACCCAACAGGGCAUUCCUGAGCUCAGUCUCCCCACAGAGGAAUUGCAGUCCUGGGGCCCAGCCCUCAUUCUCAAGCAAUCCUCUUCCACUCUCUAGGAGCCAAGGAGGCAGGACUUCUGAGGAAUGCUGGCUUAGAGGUUCCUGGCUGAUUUCCAGGGUUGAAUUAAUUUAAGAGUGGCAAAACUGGGGUAGACUGAAAAAGCCAAUUCUUAUCUCUUUUCUUGAAGCUUCUGUGUCAAACCCUGCUAAAAUAUGGAGAGGACUCUUGAGCCAGAAGGCCAGGUAAUCCUGUGUCUACCCUAAAUCAACCCACAAGAGGUGCCUUUUAGAAAUUUGAAUUGCCAGCGACACUUUUGGAAGCAAGUACUCAGAGUGCAGUGUGUUAGAUGACACAGUGACAGAUGACUCAGUGAAGUGACCUGCAUCAUAGAAACUGCUGGUGCUAUGAACACCGUUCUUUAUCAUGCAGCCAGGAAGUUGAACCAACUGGCCUAGUAAGUAAGCUUGGCAGGAGAACAUGAGGAGGAGCAGGGGAGGGGAGCCAGGUGUGAAUGGAGAGAGAGGAGGGAAGGGAUGCUCCAGGAACCUGGGAACGAGGGACUGCAGAAGGGUGGCAGUGACCCAGGCAAGGAUGGGGACACAGUGAGGGGAGACAUCUGGCUGCUUAAUAUUUUCCAAUUCUCCAGUUUCUUGAAUGAAAGACUAGUCUUUAUGCUAAAAGGAGUUUUCCUGUGAACGAUUUAGGGAAAUUCUGACAGUUAUAGUCUUGGUGAGAAGGGAUUGCUAGGGCAUACCCAAACUUGAAUGUAGGGAUGAAUACAAGAGGUCAGGGCCAAUGGGAGCCCGGCUUCAGCCAGCAUUCAGAGUGUGCACUGCACACCUAGCCCCUCAUGCAGGUUAAUUUCCUGGGUCACCUGUCUCUGAGUCACUUAGCGCACAACAUUUCAGGCCUUGCCUUCCAAAAAGUAUCUAUCACUAGCUGUAUUUCUAGGACUCCCCUUGUUGAUUUAGAUACAAGAUUACCUUACCUACUGACUUAAGACUCUUCUCCCUGUGUUCAUAGGGUUUACCUCAAGAGCCUCGAGGAGAGCAGAUAGGAAUGGGUGUGAGAGAGAACGAUGAGAGAUGGGUGGCUGUCUUCUGGUUGCUCAAGGUAGAGAGAGGGAGACAGCAAUCAACAAUUAUAACACCUUGCCACGUUUCAUAUUCCCCUCCCACUGGCUGAACUGAAGGACCCCACCCCAACUAUGACAUCUCAGAGAGACCCUGAGAGGGAUGCUCCUGCUGGUAGCUCCAGGCUCUCCUAGUGCCAGGCCGCUGCACAGCUCUCCAGACUUAGGCUGCACUGGGCCUCUCUCCUGCCUCCAUCCGGACCAUACGUGUUCACCUCUCCCACAGGCAUCAGAAGCCAACCUCUGCUGAGUGAAGCAGAAGAGAGUUGGAUGGAAAGGACACUGUGCAUCUAGAGAGUCAGCUGAAGGGCGAUGACGGAGUGGAAGAUGAGCAGACUGGAGCAACAUCCAGAAUCACAUGGCAGAGGGGUCUGGAGAAACUUCUGCUGCUGUGGCCAUUGAACCCUGGGUGACAUUGCUGCUGCCUCUGUGCCACAAACUUGAACCUGUAGCAGAGAGGGAGAGAAAGAACUCCACCAUUCCUGCUUCUAGCUCCUGAGUCAAAGCCCAGCGUGGGAACAGGGUCAGUGGGUCCUGGAGGUGGCCUGUGCCCUGACUUGCAAAGUCUUCUGAGAAUGCUAGUUUCUGUCAUUGUCACUGUCUACAAGGGCAGGCAGGCACUGAAGACAAUGAGGACUUGUGGGGGAACUUCCCAAAUAAAAAGGGGGUUCAGAGGUUGGAUGGCCAAGUAAAAUAAUCAAUAUUCACUAUCAUAUCCUUAGUUGAGAAUUGAGAAGUGGAGGGUAGUGUCUGUGUUGACGGCAGUAAUGUUCUCUAACAGGUAUUGAGUGAUUACUCUAUGCGCUAAGAGCUCUAGAUGCAGAAUCUCGUGACAAAUGCCUUGGAAGUGACUAAUAUUAUACACAUUUUACGAAAGAGGCAAAUGUGUUAUAGACAUGUCCCUCCACACAGCUAGUAGGUGGCCGAGCUGAGAUUCUAGCCUAGGCAGUCUGUCUUCAGAAACUGUAGUCACACUUCCACCAACGAGGGCAGUGCG